AUUGAAACAUUGGUUCCCAUAUGAUCUCUGAAGUUAAGCAACAUCAAGCCUGGUCAGUACUUAUAUGGAUGGCCGCUUGGGAAUAGCAGGUGCUGUAAG